GGAAAUUGCCUCUUCAGAAUUGACAUUCAAUGUAUGUUAUUUUCGGACACCUUGAAGCACCCAAGUCAUGAGCAUUCACUCUUUCUUGUCCACAACAAGAAGGGAACGAGUUGCAGUGCUUGUCUCAAAACACUGUACUCAGGGGAUGUUGCAUAUAGAUGCAUGAAGCGCUGUGAUUUCAGUUUAGAUAUAGGUUGUGCAACACUACCACUCACUGCUUGGUACAAGUAUGAUAGGCAUCCUCUUACUUUGACUUAUUCUGAUGAUUCUGAGCCUUCUCAAUAUUACUGCGAUCUCUGUGAGAAAGAAAGAGAGCCAAAUCAUUGGUUUUACUACUGUGCUGAUUGUGAUAACUCUCUUCAUCUCAAUUGUGCUAUUGGGGAUCUCCCAUAUAUGAAGCUUGGGAACAAAGUUAAAUUUUAUGUUCAUAAACAUCCAUUUACUAUUGUGAAAAACAUUUGGAAUUGCCCUCCAUGUAAAGUAUGUCGUGAGGUUUGCAAUGGGCAGGCCCUAGAAUGUAAAGAAUCUGAAUGCAACUUUAUUGUCCACUGGGAUUGCCUGGAUUGCCUUUGGGGCCUAAGUAGAGCAUUUGAAUGAUAUUCCAGUCAAGUUUAAGAAGCAGAGAAGGCACAAGAGGAGAUGUGUGUUGUGUUCUGUGUAAGGGUGUAGGAGAUUUGGUAAAAAUGGGUGAUGGCCUUAGUUGUUGUAAUCUGCAUUAAAUUAUGUUUAUGAUAGUUGUUUGAGUAGUAGAAGGUUUUGUUAGAUGAAGCAUGAUUUGUAACCACACAUUUUUAUCUUUCAUUUUUCUAUUUGAUUCUUAUCCUUUCAACUUUUAUCUAAAAUUACUGAUGAGAUUGAAGAAUUGGUUUCUAGUUUGUCAUAAGAAAAUAUUUUUAUUAUCUGAACCAUAAAAAUACUAAAAUAAUGAACAUAAUGUUGAGUUUCGAAAUAUAAAUAGAAAAAUCAUUCCUCCAUUCAUAAAAAUUGGGAGUGAUUGUUAAGACUAUGAAAUGUAUAAAUGAUUUCUCAAUUUUUUUAUUAUCUAAAAAUAUUAAAUUUAGCAUUUGAAGAUCAAAACAUAAUCAAAUUUGGUAUAUUUAUAAAUGUUUAUUUACUUAUUUAUUAUUUUUGCAAAGUGGAAAUGUAUGAGGUUCUGUGACAUAGAUCAAUCAAGACUUUGUGACCUUAAAUCAACCAGCCAUAAAAAAAAAGUAUAUAUAUAUUUUAGCUUUACAAUUUAGGUUAAUUUUAUUUCACUUAAUUAGUAAUUAUUUGUACUCCAUAUUCAAAAUAUUGUUAUUAUGCCUAAAUUCUAGAAAAGAAAUUUUUCUUUAUUUUAGAUCUUUUUUUAAAUUUUUUGAAUUUUCCAUUAGAUUUUAUUGUAAUUUCAUUUCAAAGAUAAAUUAACACUUUCUACAACUUAGGGAAAAGAAUAAAGUCAAUUUAGGCAAAAAGUCUUUUUUUUUUCCCUCAAAAUACUAAGAAAAAAUCCUUUUCUUUUAUUUCGCUUUUUAAUUUUUAUUUUUAUCAAAUUAUCCAGAAUUAGGUGAAAAAAGUUAACGAGCCGUUAAUUUAGAUGAUGUGAAUGAUUAAUGUUUACGUGACAUUCAUGACAAUUCACGUAUGUCACGUCAGUAAAAAUUAAUUAUUUUUAUAAAAUUAAAAAAUAUAUUAAAUAUUAAAACUUAACAUCUGACUUUUUUUUAAUUACUAUUUUUAAAAUUUCAAAUUCUUAAAUAAUUUAAUAUUAAGCUGCCAAUUUUAAAAUAUUAAUAAAUUAAACUAAACACUUUUUCCAUUAAUAAAAAACAUUUUCUUCCUUAUUCUUUUUAAAAAAAAUUUAAAUAAACUCUAAAAGGUACUUCAAUCUCUCGAACCUACAUUCAGAUCAUCUUAAGAUUCUAAACAUAGCCUAUUGCACUUACAAGUAGAAAAACAAAAGAAAAACGAGCUUUUAACUCAAAUGAGAGAACAUUAUUUUUAUUGAAUUGAUGAAUAAAUUCAUAUGGUUCUAGCCUUUUAUAGGUCUUAUAAUAGCUCAAAACUAAAAAUAACAAACUAAAUAUGAAAAAAUUUGAAAAUUUUAUUUAAGUUCUCUCAAACUUUUUAAAAAUUCUCAUUAAUUUUUUCAAAAUUUUUAAAAAAUUGUAAUCAAAAUUUUUAAAAGUUCUAAAAAUUCUUAUUAAGCCCCAAAAAUAUUUUAAAUCUUGAUUAAUCCCUCUCAAAAUUUAAUGUCAAAAUCCACCGUUGAUUCUAUAUAACAAAAAUACUAUUAUGCAAAAAUUCUAAAUUGAAUUCGGGGAAACUAUUUAAAAUUAAUUAGAUAACCUUUUGCGUAAUUUUUAUUUUUGAAUUAACUAUUCCAAAAUUAUUCCUCUCUAUUAUAUUUUUAUUAUCUGUUGAAGUCAAACAUAAUACUGGUUGAAGCGGACAUAACCACAAUGAGAAUGACCAAGUUCCAAAUUAUUGUAUUUUCAUACCAAAAUUCAAGUAUUGUGUAAUUUAUCUCCUCCAAAAUUGUAAUGAUAAAAGGAAUGAUAAUGGCAUAUUCAACCCCUAUACUUUAUCAAAAUAUCUAAUAUGGUAUCUUCACUUUUAAAAUAUCAAUUUUGAUACCUAAUCUUUAGAAUUUUUUUAGGAUUUAAAUUAUAUAAUUUUUGUUAUAAUUUUAUAAGGUACACAUAUUAUUUUUAUAUUACACUUUUUUUAGAAUUUAUAAUAUUAUUUUUUACCACAACGAUUUUAAAUACUCAUAUGUGUUUAUGCUUAUGAUGCAAUUUUUAUAACUUGUAAAGUAUAAUUUUUUAAAAUUAGAUUUUGGUGUAAUUAUAUGCGUAAUUAUUCUAAUUCUCAUCCUCCCUAGAAAUUGGAAAGUAUAAGUGGGGUGCUCCAAUUACAAUUAAUUUAGUGGGAACCACAAAUUAUAAUGCUUAUAAAAACAUGACAUUCUUAAGUAAUUACAAGUAAUUGCACCCAAAUCCAAUUAUGAGAUGACUUUCCAAACACUACCUCGGUAAAAAUUAGUGAUUGUUCAAAAAAGUUACUUGAAAGCUUUGCUUCUUGUUUUAAACUAGAGGUAUUCAUGGGUAGGGUGGCCUUGCCCGUAGAGGUGUUCAAUCGGUUAACCUACUCGAAAUAACAUUAACCAAAUUAACCGACCCUUCAAAAUUUUUAACCGUUAAUUGAAUCGAAAUUUUUUCAAAAAAAUUAACCGAACUGAAAUUUUUUCGGUUAAUUCGGUCGGUUAACCAAAUUAACCGAAAAUUAUAUGUAUUUUUAUUUUUGGUUAAAAUAAGUAUAAAAUUAACCGAAUUAACCGAAUUAAUCGAAUUAACCGAAUUACCCUAAUUAACCGAAUUGUUUGUAUAAAAUUAUAUAUUUUUUAUUUUUAUUUUUAGUUUUAGAUUUUUAUUUUUAUUUUUAUUUUUAUUUAUUAAUUAUUUGUAAUUUUUAUGAUUGGGUUCGGUAAUUGGGUUGGGUUGGGUACUUGGGUUAAUAUAUAUUAGAUUGGGUAUUUGGGUUUAUGUUGGAAUGAGUUUGAGUGAAUAGUGGGCUAUUUAUAUAUUAUAAUUUUAUUUAUUAAUUUUUUUGGUUAAACCUAAAAAAUUUGGUUAAUCGACCUAUUUCGAACCAAAUUAACUGUUAACCGGAAACUCAAAAAAUUAUUAACCGUCCCCCGACUGAAUUAAUUCGGUUAACCGACCGGUUAACUGAAUUCGGUCGAUUAACCGAAUUUUUUCUGUUUUACCCGAAUUUUGCACACCUUUACUUGCCCGAAAGCCUCCCUGAAAAGUGAGAUAGUUUAGGCAAAAAUAUAAGCCCGAAAUAGGUUAGGACAAAAAUUAAGGCUUGUUUAGAAAAUGAGUCAGACCUCGAGUAAGGUUUUUUUUAACCUGGGCCCAGCUCGAAAUUGAAAAAAAAAACCUCUUUUUCUUGUUUUUCAUUGUUUUGCUGUCAUUGCACUAAUUAUUGUUUGGAUAUUGUAUAUUUCUUAUUUUAUUGUCAAUUUUGCUACUAUUUUAUAGACAUUUGUUUGUUCAAAUGCACCUAUCUUAUUUUUAUUUAAGUAUAAAGAUUUUUAUUUUAAUCUAUUUUUAAUUUGUUGGGAAACAUUUAUUUUAAUGUUUUAAGUGUAUUUGGUGUAUUAUAUUUUUAAACAUUUUUAUAUAAAAAAAUUAAUACGGGUCGGCCAGACCAAACCUAUCAAUUGGGCUUAAAAAUUUGUUAAGGCCUGACCUGACCCGACCUAUAGACACCUCUAUUUUAAACCAUCUUCUUUGCUGAUUUAAGCUUAAGUAAAGGGAUAUGUUUAAGCGAGGAGAUAGAAAGAAAAAAAAAUCCAACAAAUAAAAUAAAAAAUCUUAAUUGCAAAGAGAAACAUAAUAUAAAGAAUAUAAAUAUCAAAUUCUUUAUAACUUGUUUAAAAAAUUUCGAAUCAACGUGAUGAAAAUAAAAUAAUAAUGACGUAUUCAACCCCUAUACUUUAUCAAAAUAUUUAAUAUGAUAUCUUUACUUUUAAAAUAUUAAUUUCAUUUAUUAUUGCGAUAUAUCCUUCUAAUGGAGUUAAAAUCUUACAUCACUUUGAAUGCUACCAAUUGUAUGCUGCCAUGUGGCACUAUUAGUUUGAAAAAUUUUAAUCAAAGUCAAGGGAUUUGAAAAUAAUUAUACCAAAAACUGUUUUAAAGGCCAAAAUAAGACCAACCCAAGCCCGGCACAAUUUAGCCCAUCAACUCAUCUACCCUAAACUUAAACUUUGCUCUCACACUACCCAAUUCAAUCUUCGCUUAUAAAAAUUGCUGUUUAAAUUAUGCAUGUUUUCUCAAACAGAUUUUAAACUUUUUUUUUUUUUUGUCAAUUUGAGUAUUUAAACUAAUUUUUUCUCGCAUUGGUACCCCCAUUAUUUAUCCUUUAGUUCGAUUCGGUGGAAUAAAAAUAAAAUAAAAAUUAGCUUUCGGAGAGAUGGCUGAGUGGUUGAUAGCUCCAGUCUUGAAAACCGAUAUAGUUUGAAACAAAGAACUAUUGAGGGUUCAAAUCCUUCUCUCUCCCUUUGCUAGAUGAAUAGAUAUCUUUCUUUAUUGCUUUUUCCUGGAUUCUUAAUUAAGAAUCUUAAUAUUAAUAAAAUUUAAAGACCCUAAAGUAGCAUGCGUCAUAUAUUUCACAGAACGUCGUUCUUGCCAAGGUUGUAUGUCUUUUUUCAACCUACUCAAGUCCAAACCAUUGGGACCUCUUAGAGGUUAUAACCAAGAAGCACGUAGAUCCCAAGAACACAUAGUUUCCCCUCCAAAAAUGACUUAUCUGGUCGAGGAACGUGUUAGAUAUUUACCUAACCCAGUAGGCCUUUGAGCGAAUCCCACGUUAGCCCCAAGACGUUGGUUUCUAACUAGAAAAGUAAAUGCUUGAGCUUGAGAAACUUUUGGUCUAGUGCGCCCGUAAAGCUAACUAGGUCAAUUGUUAGUCAAUCUCGAUCAAUGAUGAUGUGAUCCAAUCACCAAUCCAUAUCACAUAAACAAAUCACCUCGUUAUUUGUAUAAAAUAAUUCCAAAAUUAAAAAAUAGAGAAAUUAAAAUAAUUUUUUUGAUUUUAUAAAAAUAUAUAUAUUAGCGUUUAUUUUAAUAUUAAUUAAAAAAAUAGUAAAAAGUAUUUCCCCACCCCAUCUCUCAUGUCUAUUGGUGAUAGAACCACAUCAUCAUUGACCAAGGUUGAUUAACGACUAACUAACGAGGUACAAAUGUAAGAAAAAAAUAUAGUUUAGACACUCAAAUUGAUCAAAAAAGUGUUUAGGUACUUAUUUAAGCAAAUGAGUAUAUUUUAAAGGACAAUUUUGAUAUUAAGCCUUCAAUCUAUAAAUAGAUUUACUUAUUAUUUAUUUAAUUUAAUUUAAUAUGAUCUGAUUCAAAUUAAUUGUUAAAUACAUUUAAUGACUUAAAUUUUAGUCACACACAUGACAAACUUCUACAACAUAGCUUUUUAGUUCAAAUUGGUACUUUCAAAUAACUAAGUAUUAAUUUAGAUAAAAAAAAAACCAAAUUCAGGUAUCAAUUUGAAUAAUAAGCCAAGUUUAAGUACUUAAUCGGACCAAAAUACCAAAUUGAACUUUGAAGUCAUGUUUAAGUACCUAAUUGGAAAAAAAAAACUUUAGGUAUCAAUUUGAACUCUGAAGCUAAGUUCAGGUACCGAAAUGUAUAUUUCCCUUACUUUUCCAAUAACUGCUCUCAUUUUUAUCUACCAGAUCGGAGCAAACAUUCAUUAUUGACAGAAAACAAUAAUUCUAGUGAUUAUGUUGAGAGUAAAACUUAAUUUUCUGUCACCGACAAUCACAAUCCGUUUUACUAUUUUUUUUUACUUCCUAACAUUGCAUUAUUUCUCAAUUUUUAAUUCAUAAACGAUCAAGAAUACUUUUAAGAUUUCCUAUAAAAUUCUCUUUUUAUUUGCAAGGAAUCUACAACUCUGGCGGAAAUCAGGCACAUUGUCUUUGAUCGUAGGGUGUUUGCUGAAAUGCUUGACACAAGCAUGCAGGCGUGGGAAGCUAUCAGCUUUGAUAAACUUAAAUCCCACCACCUCUUCCAUAGCCGCCAACAUUUGAAUAACUAUUCCUAAAACGAGGUCAGCCAUGCCAAUUCCAUUAAAAAGAGGCCUAAGCUAAGCCACCAAGCAAAGAGGAAGAAGAAGAGAUGGUUUCAGGGUGAGGCAUGUGCGCCAAAACCCAAGAGGGUAGUGGUGGAUGCAAGGCAUCACAUGCUGGGAAGGUUGGCUUCCAUAUUGGCCAAGGAGUUGUUGAAUGGCCAAAAAGUAGUGGUGGUGAGAUGUGAAGAGAUAUGCAUGUGGGGUGGAUUGGUUAGCCAGAAGAUGAAUAUCAUGAGGUUUCUUAGGAAGCGUAUGAACACUAAGCCUUCUCAUGGUCUCAUCCAGUUUCCUGCUCCUCUAACAUCCUCUGGCGUACCAUUCGUGGGUGUGUUUUUCUUUUCGAGGUUCUUUUCCCUUGUAGUGUGGUUUCACAGUUCUUUAUUUGGUCUGUGAAUGAAAAGGAUGGAAAUUUCUGGGUUUUUGAUGCUUGGUAAUUUAGGAAGCCUUUAUUAUAAACUUUUUGAGAGAUUUUUUCUAUUGAUUUGAAGUUCUAUGAUUUGGAUAAUAUAUAUUGCAAAAGAACCAAAGGAAUCUGUGUGUUUUGUUAUGUUUGAUAUCAAACUUAAUAAUUACAGUUUGCUAUUGGUUUUUCUUAUUAGAGAUCCGUGUGUCUGUUAUGGUUGGUUAUUGGUAAAAUGUAGGGAAGAAGUGAAAGAGAGUAGAAUGAGUGUGCUUGAGGUUAUUAUUGUUGGAUUGAGAGAAAAGUAUUAGUUGACAAGGUCUAUGAAUCUUAUAUAUAUUAUUAAACUUAAAAUAGUAAAUUGUUAAACUUAAAAUAUAUUAUUAAGUAAAGACACAUUUUAAUAAGAUUGGUUAAAGUAAAUUUAUAUAUAUAUUUCAAUUUCUUAAUUAAUUUAAACAAAACUCAAUUAUAUUAAUACAUAAUUAAUUUAUUAAAAUUCAAUGUUCCAUAUUCUUAUCCUUGGGAUAGAAAUGCUUGGGGUAUUAUGGGAAAAGAAAAAUUGACAAAUAGUCUCACAAGUCAACGACGAAACUGAAUCUUCUCUUUAAGAUUUAAGAAGGGCAAAAGCACGACCUAAGAAAGUAUACCACAAGGUGUGGGGUAAAGUGAAGCAAACUCAAGGGUUUUCUUGUAAUGGAUAUGAGUGAGUGUGAGAGUAGGACAGUGGGGGAAACCAUGGAACUUCAACAUGUCACUCAUCCACAUCCUUUGGUCUUCUUCAAAUAUCAGACUGUUGCAGGCGAAGUAGACCCAGAAGCAGCUCUUUGCCUUGGGUGUGAGAAACCUGUAGAGGGCUGGAGCUAUGGCUGCAAUCAAUGUGAGUUUUAUCUUCAUAAGGGAUGUGCUGAGUUAGAGUUAGCCCCCCAGAUUCAGCAUCCUUUUCACCCCAAACACCCUCUCUCUCUUUUGCUAAAAUCACCUUAUUCUAGGGGGGGGGGGCGGAUUGUGCGAUUUUUGUGGUAAGGCAUUACGGGGAUUUGUUUAUAAUUGUUAUGAUUGUAAGUUCGAUCUGCACAUCAAUUGUGCUUUGCUUCAAUCAUCCAUUGCUGCAAAUUUUCCUAAUUCUUUGCACCCCAUCCAUUGUUCUUCAUUGAAAACCAUAACAACGAAGUCUAUUCUGAUUGCUCCGGGUAUCAAAAACCAAUAUCUGGUCAAUUUUACCACUGUUCUGAUUGCUCGUAUCCUACAUGCUUUAACCUCCAUAAGGAAUGUGCUGAACUACCCCUUGAGAUUAAUCACCCCUGUGACCGUAAGCAUCCUCUUACUCUCUUGCCACAAUCGCCUACUCAUCCCGAGAAAUGUUGUUGCUAUUUGUGCAGAAUCCAAUGGAAGGGGUUUGUUUAUUCCUGCUCUCUUUGCAACUUUGAUCUUUCACUUGAUGAUUUUUUUUCACCACCAACAAUCACAGUUGCAAGUCAUGAACACCCGUGGAUGCUUGUAUCUGGAAAAAUAUCGUUUGUAUGUGAUUUUUGUGGCACUGACGGAGACCACUCCCCAUUUAACUGCGCUACAUGUCAGCUCCUUGUCCACAAGAACUGCAUUUCAUUGCCACGCCACAUCAUGAUAACACGACAUCGUCACACGAUUUCUCUUUCUUAUUCUUUUAGACAAAAUCAAGUUGAAGAUGGGAUGUGCAGAGUUUGUUAUUUGAAAGUUGAUACAAGCUACGGCAGUUAUCGUUGUUCUGCUUCUGAUUGCAGUUAUAUUGCUCAUACACUUUGUGCAACUGAUAAAGCAAUUUGGGAUGGAACAAUUAUGCCGAAAGGCUAUGAUGAGAGGUCCGGGGAAGUGGUGCAUGGACCUUGGAAUUUGAUUACUGACGUUGUUGAACAAAUUAGUAUUGGAGAGCCAGUGGUAGCAAGUGAUAUAAAGCAUUCCUAUCAUGAUCAUAAUUUAAGACUCACUUUUAGUGGGAAGACCAAAGAUGAUGAUAGUUAGUGUGAUGGGUGCAUGAGACUUUUAUCAACUCCUUUUUAUAGUUGUGAGCAAUGCAAGUUCUUUCUCCACAAAGAUUGCGCUGAAUUGCCUAAACAAAUGCGAGACUCAUUUCACAAGCAUUUGCUUACUCUCUCAAACUCACACGAUGAGUAUGGUUAUUCAUGGUGCAAUGCUUGCAAUCGUCAGUAUCAAGGAUUUAGCUACAGAUGCUACGAAGGAUAUUGCUACUUCGAAAUUGACAUUCAAUGUAUGUUCUUGUCAGACACCUUGGAGCACCCAAGUCAUGAGCAUUCACUCUUUCUUCUCCACAACAACAAGGGAAUGAGUUGCAGUGCUUGUUUCAAAACACUAGACUCAGGGGAUGUUGCAUAUAGAUGCAUGAAGCGCUGUGAUUUCAUUUUAGAUGUAGGUUGUGUAACACUACCACCCACUGCUUGGAACAAGUAUGACAGGCAUCCUCUUACUUUGACUUAUUUUGAUGAGUCUGACUCUUCUCAACUUUGCUGCAAUCUCUGCGAGAAAGAAAGAGAGCCAAAUCGCUGGUUUUACUAUUGUGCUGAUUGUGAUAACUCUCUUCAUCUCAAUUGUGCUAUUGGGGAUCUCCCAUAUAUGAAGUUUGGGAACAAAUUCAAAUAUUAUCAUCAUAAGGACUGUGCUGAGUUAGAGUUAGCCCCCCAGAUUGAGCAUCCUUUCCACCCCAAACACCCUCUCACUCUUUUGCCAGAAUCACCUUAUUUUGGGGUCGCAAGCUGGUGCAAUUUGUGUGGUAAGAAAGUUCGGGGAUUUGUUUAUAAUUGUUAUGAUUGUAAGUUCGAUCUGCACAUCAAUUGUGCUUUGCUUCAAUCAUCCAUUGCUGCUAAUUUUACUAGUUCUUUGCACCCCCAUCCAUUGUUCUUCAUUCAAAACCAUAACAACGAAGUCGAUUCUGAUUGCUCUGGGUGUCAGAAACCAAUAUCUGGUCCAUUUUACCACUGUUCAGAUUGCACUUAUCCUAUAUUCCUUAACCUUCAUAAGGAAUGUGCUGAACUACCCUUUGAGAUUAAUCACCCAUGUGACCGUAAGCAUCCUCUUACUCUCUUGCCACAACCGCCUACUCAUCCCCAGAAAUGUAGUUGCUAUUUGUGCAGAAUCCAAUGGAAGGGGUUUGUUUAUUCCUGCUCUCUAUGCAACUUUGAUCUUUUACUUGAUGAUUUUCUUUUUUCACCACCAACAAUCACAGUUGCAAGUCAUGAACACCCGUGGGUGCUUGUAUCUAGAAAAAUAUCGUUUGUUUGUGAUUUUUGUGGCAAUGACGGGGAUCACUCCCCUUAUCACUGUGAUAAAUGUGUACUUUUUGUCCACAAGAAUUGCAUUUCAUUGCCACGCCACUUCAGGAUAACACGACAUCAUCACACGAUUUCUCUUUGGUAUUCUUUUCAGCAGAAUCAAAUUGAGGAUUGUAUGUGCCAAAUUUGUUACAAGGAAGUUGAUAUAAGCUAUGGUCAUUACCGUUGUCCUGCUUCUCGUUGCCGUUAUAUUGCUCAUGUACGUUGUGCAACUGAUAGAGCAAUUUGGGAUGGAACAAUUAUGCUGGAAGGCUAUGAUGAGAGGUCCGAGGAAGUGGCGCAUGAACCUUGGAAUUUGAUUACUGAUGUUGUCGAACAAAUUCGUAUUGGAGAGCUAAUGGUAGCAAGUGAGAUCAAGCAUUCCUAUCAUGAUCAUAAUUUAAGACUCACUUUUAGUGGGAAGACCAAAGAUGAUGAUAGUCAGUGUGAUGGGUGCACGAGACCUAUAUCAACUCCUUUUUAUAGUUGUGAGCAAUGCAAGUUCUUUCUCCACAAAGAUUGCGCUGAAUUGCCUAAACAAAUGCCACACUCAUUUCACAGGCAUUUGCUUACUCUCACAAACUCACACGAUGAGUAUGAUCAUUCAUGGUGCCGUGCUUGCGGUCGGUUGUAUCAAGGAUUUAGCUACGGAUGCUACGAAGGAGGUUGCAGGUUUAGAAUUGACAUUCAAUGUAUGUUAUUUUCGGACACCUUGAAGCACCCAAGUCAUGAGCAUUCACUCUUUCUUGUCCACAACAACCAGGAAACGAGUUGCAGUGCUUGUUUCGAAAAGCUAUUCCCAUGGAAUGUUACUUAUAGAUGCAUGAAGCGCUGUGAUUUCAGUUUAGAUGUAGGUUGUGCAACACUACCACUCGCUGCUUGUUACAAGUAUGACAGGCAUCCUCAGUUUAGAUGUAGGUUGUGCAACACUACCACUCGCUGCUUGUUACAAGUAUGACAGGCAUCCUCUUACUUUGACUUGUUCUGAUGAUUUUGAGCCUUCUCAACUUUACUGCGAUCUAUGCGAGAAAGAAAGAGAGCCAAAUCGUUGGUUUUACUACUGUGCUGAUUGUGAUAACUCUCUUCAUCUCAACUGUGCUCUUGGGGAUCUCCCAUAUAUGAAGCUUGGGAACAAACUCAAAGGUUUUCAUAAGCAUCCACUCACUAUUGUGAAAAACAUUUGGAAUUGCCCUCCAUGUAAGGUAUGUGAUGAGGUUUGCAAUGGGCAGGCUGUAGAAUGUAAAGAAUCUGAAUGCAACUUUACCGCCCACUGGUAUUGCUGCCGUAAGUAUAUCAAGUGAAGCAUUUCAACGAUAUUCCAAUCAAGUGAAACAUAGAAAGCGCAAGAUGAGAGGUGUGUCGUGUUCUGUGGAAGGGUGUAGUUAGAUUUGGUAAAAAUGAGUGAUGGCCUUAAUUGUUGUAAUCUGCAUUACGUUAUGUUUAUGAUAGUUGUUUGAGCAAUAGAAGAUUGUGUUAGAUGAAACAUGAUUUGUAACCACACAUCUUUAUUUUUCAGUUUUCUUAUCUGCUUGUUAUUCUUUCAACUUUUAUCUAAAAUUAUUAACGAGAACGAAGAAGUGCUUUCUAACUUGUCAUAAUAAAAUAUUUUUAUUAUCAAAACCAUGAAAACACCAAAAUAAUGAAAAUAAUGUUGAGUUCGGAAAUUUAAAUACAAAAUCAUUCUUCCAUUCAUAACUGCAUAAAAAAUUGUUUGAGAUAGUUAAGACCAAAACAUAAGCGGAUUUGGUAAAUCUUAUUAUGCUUGCGCAGUGGAAAUGUAAGCAGGCAUACAAAAUAAAAGUGUAUACAUGUUUUAGCUUUACAAUUUAGGUUAAUUAAGUCAACUUAAUUAAUUUUAUUUGUACUCCAUUUUCUAAUUAAUAUUGUUAUGCCUAAUUUCUUGAAAAAAUUUUUUUUUUCUUUAUUUUAGAUCUUUUUCUAAAAUUUUGAAUUAACUCUUGCAAAUUUGAUUCUUACAUCAUAUUUUACUGUUCACAACUUAGAAAAGACUAAAUUCAAUUUAGGCAUUCAAUUUAGGCAAAAUGUCCCUUUUUUUUUCUUUGCCCUCAAAAUAUUAAAAAUAAAAAAUCCCUUCUCUUUCAGUUCGAUUUGUAAUUUUUAAUUUUUAUCAAAUUAUCCAAAAUUAAGUGAAAAAAUUAACAAGCUGUUAAUUUUGAUGAUGUGGAUGAUUAAUGUUGUUGUGAUAUUCAUAACAAUUCACGUUAGUAAAAAUUAAUUAUUUUUAAAAAAUUAAAAAUUUUAAAAUUUUAAAAAUUGACAUCUAUUUUUUUAUUUACUAAUUUUUUUCAAUCAAACUUCUUAUUAUAUUUGCUCUUUUCGACACAAUACUUAGAACUACCCAUAGCCCUUCCUCAACUCAUAAAUAGGAGCAUAAUAUGCUUCAACGCACUUAAACUCACAUCCUCCUGCAUUGACAUUAAUGUUAAUGCUAAUCAAAUUAAGACUCAAUUGGCUACUUACUAAUUUUAAAAAAAUACAAAAUUAUUUUCUUAAAUAAUUUAAUAUUAAGCUGUCAAUUUUAAAGUAUUAAUAAAUUAAACUAAACAAUAUUUCUAUUAAUAAAAAUCAUUUUCUUCCUUUUUUAAAAAAAAAAACCUAAAUAAACUCUAAAUAGAACUUCGAUCUCUUGAACCCACCUUCAUAUCAUCUUAAGAUUCUAGACAUAGCUUGUUGCACUAAUAAAUAGAGAAAAAAAAAAGAAGUACGAACUUUUAACUCAAAUGAGAGAAGAUAAUUUUUAUUGAAUUGAAGAAUAAUUUUAUACAAUUCUAGUCUUCCAUAGGCUUUACAAUAGCUCAAAGCUAAAAAUAACAGAAUUAAAUAUGAAAAAAAUUGAAAAUUUUAUUUAAGUUCUCUCAAAACUUUUUAAAAAUUCUCAUUAAAAUUUUCAAAAUUUGUAAUUAAAAUUUUUAAAAGUUUUAAAAAUUCUGAUUAAACCCCCAAAAUAUUUUAAAUUUCAAUUAAGUCCUCUCAAAAUUUAAUACCAAAAUCCACCGUCGAUUCUAUAUAACAAAUAAUACUAUUAUGCAAAAAUUCUAAAAAGAUUUCGGGGAAAUUAUUUAAAUUAACUAGAUAACCUUUUGCGUAAUUUUUAAUUUUGAUUUAAAAAUUCCAAAAUUAUUCUUCUCUAUUAUAUUUUUAUUAUCAGUUGAAGCCAAAUAUAAUACUAAUUGAAGCGGACGUAACCAUAAUGAGAGUGAUCAAAUUAUUGUAUUUUGAUACCAAAGACCAAAGUUAGGUGCUAUGUAAUUUAUCUCCUCCAAAAUUGUAAUGAUAAAAAGAAUGAUAAUAUCAUAUUUGACCCCUAUACUUUAUCAUAAUAUCUAAUAUGGUAUCUUCACUUUUAAAAUAUCAAUUUUGAUACUUAAACUUUAAUUCUAUUUAUUAUUGCCAUAUAUCCUUCUAAUGGAGUUAAAAUCUUACCUCACUUUGAAUACAACCAGUUGUAUGCCGUCAUGUGGCACUAUUAGGUAGAAAAUUUUUAAUCAAAGUCAAGGGAUUUGAAAAUAAUUAUACCAAAAUUUAUUCUAAAGGUCGAAAUGAAAAAUAUUAAGACCGACCCAAGCCCGGCACAAUUUAGCCCAUCAACGCAACUACCUUAAACUUAUACUUUGCCCUUAUACUAUCCAAUUCAAUCUAAGCUUAAAAUAAAAAUUGCCCCCUAAAUUAUAUUCAUUUUCUCAAACAUAUAUCUAAACCUUUUUUUUUUUUGUCAAAUUCAGUACUUAAAGUAAUUUUUUCCCACAUUGGCACCCUGUUAAUUCUCCGCCAUUAGUCAACCUUGUUAAAUGUUCAAUGAUGAUGUGGCCCAAUCACUAAUCGACACAUGACAAAAAAAAGUCACUUAAGUAAACCAUCUCAUUAUUUGUAUAAAAUAAUUCUAAAAAUAAUUUUUUUAGAAAAAAUUAAAAUUAUUUUUUGAUAUUAUUUUAAUAUUAAUUAAAAAUAAUAUUAAGAAAUAUUUCCACACCCCAUCCCUCUCCAAUCAUUCCCCCACCACUACUCUCCCAUCCCUCUCUCUGCCCCCCACCAUCCUUACCCCAACCCUCUCUCUCUGCUAACCCUUCAAUUAUAUUUUCAUUAAAAAAAAAUUUCCUCCUUUCUUUCUUUAACAUGGAUUCUUUGUCCCACAAUUGUCUUCAAAUUCAUCCACCACAUGUUUGGGAAAAUGCCCUAAAAAACUAAAUUUUAAGUUUCAAAUUGGUGUUUUCCUUUUCAUGUAUUGGAUUUACUUUCUUAGAGUAGGAUUAUAAGUUUAUACCUAAACAAUAAAGGGAGCAUUUCAGUGUUGAUUUUUGUGGGUAAAGGUUUUAUAUUUUGUUAGUUUGGUUUAGUGGACACUUAAUUUUAUUUAUGGUCUUCUUUCAAUCUAGAAUUUCAUUUGUACUCUGAAACUAUGAAGUGCAAAUAACCAAAUUAAGUAUCUUUAAUGCACCAAUUGUUUGCGUCUUUUACAGGAAAUAAUUUCUCUAGUUUUUUAUUUUGCCACGUGUCUAUUGGUGAUUGAGCCAUAUCAUCAUUGACAAGGUUGAUUAACGGCUGACUAACGAGGUACAAAUGUGAGAAAAAAAUAUAGUUUAGAUACUCAAAUUGAUCAAAAAAGUGUUUAGGUACUUAUUUAAACAAAUGAGUAUAUUUUAAGGACAAUUUUGAUAUUAAGCCUUCAAUCUAUAAAUAGAUUUACUUAUAAUUAAUUUAAUUUAAUUUAAUAUGAUCUGAUUCAAAUUAAUUGUUAAAUACAUUUAGUGACUUAAAUUUUAGUCACAAAUGACAAUCUUCUACAACAUAGUUUUUUAGUUCAAAUUGGUACUUUCAAAUAACUAAGUAUUAAUUUUGGAUAAAAAAACACCAAAUUCAGGUAUUAAUUUGAAUAAGAAGCGAAGUUUAAGUACUUAAUUGGACCAAAAUACCAAAUGGAACUUUGAAGUCAUGUUCAAGUACCUAAUUGGAAAGAAAAAAACCUUAGCUAUCAAUUUGAACUCUGAAGCUAAGUUCAAGUACCAAAAUGUAUAUCUCCCUUACUUUUUCCAAUAACCGAGAGCAUUCUAGUGAUUAUGUUGAAAGUAGACCUUAAUUUUCUGUCACCGACAAUCACAAUCCUUUUUGCGUUAUUUCUCAAUUUUUAGUUCAUAAACUAUCAAGAAUACUUCUUUUUUUUUUUCUUUUUUUUUUUUACAGUGAUUAUGUUGAGAUUUCCUAAAAUUCUCUUUUUAUUUGCAAGGAAUCUACAACUCUAGUGUAAAUCAGGGACAUUGUCUUUGAUCGCAGGGUGUUCCCUGAAAUGCUUGACACAAGCAUGCAGGCGUGGGAAGCUAUCAGCUUUGAUAAACUUAAAUCCCACCACCUCUUCCAUAGGCGCCAACAUAUGAAUAACUAUUCCUAAAACGAGGUCAGCCAUGCCAAUUCCAUUAAAAAGAGGCCUACGCUAAGCUACCAAGCGAAGAGGAAGAAGAAGAGAUGGUUUCAGGGUGAGGCAUGUGCGCCAAAACCCAAGAGGGUAGUGGUGGAUGCAAGGCAUCACAUGCUGGGAAGGUUGGAUUCCAUAUUGGCCAAGGAGUUGUUGAAUGGCCAAAAAGUAGUGGUGGUGAGAUGUGAAGAGAUAUGCAUGUGGGGUGGAUUGGUUAGGCAGAAGAUGAAGCACAUGAGGUUUCUUAGGAAGCGUAUGAACACUAAGCCUUCUCAUGGUCUCAUCCUGUUUCCUGCUCCUGCUAACAUCCUCUGGCGUACCAUUCGUGGGUGUGUUUUUGUUUUCGAGUUUUUUUUUCCCUUUUAGUGUUGUUUUUACAGUUCUUUAUUUGGUCUGUGAAUGAAAAGGAUGGAAAUUUCUGGGUUUUUGAUGCUUGGUAAUUCAGGAAGUGUUUGUUAUGAACUUUUUGAGAGAUUUUUUCUAUUUAUUUGAAGUUCUAUGAUUUGGAUAUUGGAAUAUAUAUUGCAAAAGAACCAAAGGAAUCUGUGUAUUUUGUUAUAUUUGAUUUCAAAAUUAAUAAUUAGAGUUUGCUAUUGAUUUUUCUUAUUAGAGAUCUGUGUGUCUGUUAUGGUUGGUUUUUGGGAAAAUGUAGGGAAGAAGUGAAAGAGAGUAGAAUGAGUGUGCUUGAGGUUAUUAUUGUUGGAUUGAGAGAAAACUAAUAGCUGACAAGGUCUAUGAAUCUUAUGGUGCAAAGGCAAUGCAUUUGGCUUCAGCAUAUAUGAAGUAAAGUAUAUAACUGGGCUUCAUUGUGACUUUCCUUAUGGUAACUGAUAUUUGCUUUGAUUGCAGGAUGAUUCCUCACAAAGAGUAAGCGCAAAGUGGCAGCUUUCGCUGGGUUGAAAUUGAAGGCUUAUGAGGGGAUUCCUGGACCAUAUGAUAAGACUAAGAGAAUGGUUAUUCGUGAUGCUCUCAUGUUUUGCGGUAGUUGGUUUCUUUCGUGGAAUUUAGAAUUUGGUUUUCGUACUUGCUUCAGUGGAUAGUUAGUCAUGCUCAAUGUUUUAAUUGUUCUUUCGGUUUUUUUAACUUAGGGUUUUGAGGUUUCAGAAAGGACACAAAUUGGUGGAGAAAAUAGCAUUACCCUGGAGUAAAUAUGAAAUAAAACAUUGAACGCUUUUAUGUAGGUUAUCCAACAUGCUGAAUGCUUAGGACUUGGUUUGGAGCUUUAGGAACUACUAAUGAAGAAGUUUAUGAAGACAUCAAAAGAGUCAUUUUAUUGGUUUGGCAGUUCUAGGACUUGGUUGUCCUUUACUCAGAGCCAGAGCAGGUAGGUUCUGUUUUUACUCGGCUGUUUGUGAUUGAUGUUUGUUGCACCUUUUCCCCCUCUCCUUUUCUAACUGUAUUGUAGGUUUGGGUCAGUGGUUGGGCUAUGAAUUUAUGAAUAUCACACUGUUGUGUCUGAUUAACACUGCAGACUCCUGGAAUUGUCUCCUUACUGAGUCUUACAACCUAUCAAGACGACACCAAACCAAACCUGCGGCAUACAGAAGAAAAACAUUCCUUGCAAUAAAAUUAAAACUGAUACAAAAACCACAACAUCCGUAGGGAAGCAUCAAAACACCUCAAAAAGAUAACCACAGUGGCACUUGCAUGCACCACAGCUCAUGACAGCAAUCGAAAAAGAGAUCAACUUCAAGACAUCAUCUCAUGUUAUCAAUUUGUGAGCAUCCCUUAGAAACUAAAUAAACACCAUAAAAGAAGCCUACACACCGUCCUCACUCAUCCUUAGAUUAAAACUUCGUAUCACCCCUAAACACCACCAGUCAAAAUCAUAUCUUACUCAAGUUCAAAAAACCUCCUAGUUGAAGAGAAGACAAUCGAAAUCAUCCUUAACCCAAAGAUCCUUAUUCAACAUCGAUCAAGAGGACAUUGAACAUGAUUCCAUGAUAAGCUUGUUAAAAUCCGUCAAGAAAGAAAAGGUGGAUCAGCAGCAUUCAACAGUGUUCCUCAUCAGCUAUGGCCGUCGAUGAUGAACCUCAGCUCCCUCAGCCGUUUGAGUUCACAUCCUGAUUUCACUUGGAUUUCGUUUUGAAGAUAGUUUUUAGAGACGACUGGUGUUUGGUUACAUUGCAGAUCUUGGACCUCAACCAGUUACCUUCGUUCUAAUGUUCUUUCUAUUUUUAGGGGAAAUAUUGUCAUAUACAUGCUCAACCAUUAUUCACCUUUUAAUUUAAGUUGAAAAUUGUCACAUUCGAUUUUGUUGCCUAAUUUCGUUGAUAUGCAUGAAUAUAUUAAAUAUACACUAAAAAUAUAAAAUAUAAAAUUAAAAUUAAUUAUAAUUUUAUUUAUAAUUAAGUUAAAUAAAUUAUAAGAAAUAUAAACUAUAAAGUAAAUUGAAACAAAUAUAUAGUAAAAUUGUGAACUGAAAAUAUAUAUUUUAAACUUAAAUAGUAAAUUGUUAAACUUAUAUAUAUAUUUCAAUUUCUUAAUUAAUUUAAACAAAUAUUAUAUUAUAUUCAUUUUCAAACUCUAACAAAUAUCAUAUUCAGGAUUAAUUAAUUUAUUAAAAUUCAACGUUUCAUAUUCUUAUCCUUGGAAUGGAAAUGCUUGCGGUAUUAUUGGGGAAAAAAAUAUUGACAAAAUGUCUCACAAGUCAACGACGAAAAAUGAUUCUUCUCUUUAUGAAGAACAAAGGCAAGACCUAAGAAACUAUACCGCAAAGGCUGGAGUAAAGUGAAGCAAACUCAAGGGUUUUCUUGUAAUGGAUGUGAGUGAGUGUGAGAGUAGGACAGAGGGAGAGACCAUGGAACUUCAACAUUUCAGCCAUCGACAUCCUUUGGUCUUCUUCAAAUAUCAGCAGACUGUUGCAAGCGAAGAAGUAAACCCAGAAGCAGCUCUUUGCCUUGGGUGUGAGAAACCUGUAGAGGGCUGGAGCUAUGGCUGCAAUCAAUGUGAGUUUUAUCUUCAUAAGGGAUGUGCUGAGUUAGAGUUAGCCCCCCAGAUUCAGCAUCCUUUCCACCCCAAACACCCUCUAACUCUUUUGCCAGAAUCACUUUAUUCUGGGGGGUGCGAUUUGUGUGGUAAGGCAUUUCGGGGAUUUGUUUAUAAUUGUUAUGAUUGUAGGUUCGAUCUGCACAUCAAUUGUGCUUUGCUUCAAUCAUCCGUUGCUGCAAAUUUUCCUAAUUCUUUGCACCCCCAUCCAUUGUUCUUCAUUCAAAAUAAUAACAUGGAAGUCGAGCCCGAUUGCUCUGGAUGUCAAAAACCUAUAUCUGGUCCAUUUUACCACUGUUCUGAUUGCUCGUCUCCUACAUUCUUUAACCUUCAUGAGGAAUGUGCUGAACUACCCCUUGAGAUUAAUCACCCCUGUGACCGUAAGCAUCCUCUUACUUUCUUGCCACAACCGCCUACUCAUCCCCAGAAAUGUAGUUGCUAUUUGUGCAGAAUCCAAUGGAAGGGGUUUGUUUAUUCCUGCUCUCUUUGCAACUUUGAUCUUUCACUUGAUGAUUUUCUUUUUUCACCACCAACAAUCACAGUUGCAAGUCAUGAACACCCGUGGAUGCUUGUAUCUAGAAAAAUGUCGUUUGUUUGUGAUUUUUGUGGCACUGACGGAGAUCACUCCCCCUAUUUCUGUGCUACAUGUCACCUCCUUGUCCACAAGAAUUGCAUUUCAUUGCCACGCCACAUCAUGAUAACACGACAUCGUCACACGAUUUCUCUUUCUUAUUCUUUUAGACAAAAUCAAGUUGAAGAUGGGAUGUGCAGAGUUUGUUAUUUGGAAGUUGAUCCAAGCUACGGCAGUUACCGUUGUUCUGCUUCUGAUUGCAAUUAUAUUGCUCAUGCACUUUGUGCAACUGAUAAAGCAAUUUGGGAUGGAACAAUUACGCUUGAAGGCUAUGAUGAGAGGUCCGAGGAAGUGGUGCAUGAACCUUGGAAUUUGAUUACUGAUGUUGUUGAACAAAUUAGUACUGGAGAGCUAAUGGUAGCAAGUGAGAUCAAGCAUUCCUAUCAUGAUCAUAAUUUAAGACUCACUUUUAGUGGGAAGACCAAAGAUGAGGAUAGUCAGUGCGAUGGGUGCACGAGACCUAUAUCAACUCCUUUUUAUAGUUGUGAGCAAUGCAAGUUCUUUCUCCACAAAGAUUGCGCUGAAUUGCCUAAAAAAAUGCCACACCCAUUUCACAGGCAUUUGCUUACUCUCACAAACUCAGACGAUGAGGAAGGUCAUUCAUGGUGCCAUGCUUGCGAUCGUUGUUAUCAAGGGUUUAGCUACGGAUGCUACGAAGGAAAUUGCUUCUUCAGAAUUGACAUUCAAUGUAUGUUAUUUUCGGACACCUUGAAGCACCCAAGUCAUGAGCAUUCACUCUUUCUUGUCCACAAUAACAAUGGAACGAGUUGCAGUGCUUGUUUCAAAGAGCUAUACCCAUGGAAUGUUGCAUAUAGAUGCAUGAAGCGCUGUGAUUUCAGUUUAGAUGUAGGUUGUGCAACACUACCACUCAUUGCUUGGUACAAGUAUGACAGGCAUCCUCUU
rnacentral:lncRNA from 1 species